CCGGCUGCACCGUGCACAUCCUGAGCUUUGGAUAAAGAAUGUAGGGAUGCGAUGAGAACCGAACGCCCCACCCUUCAACUUUUUCAAAAAUCACCUCAGGUAAGUACAGAAUAGGUGUAACGCUUCUCCAAUCUGUGAUGCCCCAAGCUUACACGAACAGUUAGGGAUAGGGCCAUAGGGUGCUGCGGCGGCGGACCUCGCCGUGUGCUGCUCCGCGACUUCACCGGCGGCUACGGUGCGACCUCGCUGUUUUCCAACGUACAGCAGACAACCCGUCCCAUCCCCGCGCCGCUAUUCUCCCACCUCGGCGCCACCCCCUCACCUCACCUAGCACGUACCUCCGCCAUCCGCCGAUGCCUAGAUCCGCCAUCAGCCGACACCGUAGAAGAGAAAAUCGGCCUUCAGAGCAAGUAGCGUCUACAAAGGUUCAACAUCAGCAAAUUGUUCUAAUUACCAAGACGGACAUGACAACUCAAACAAUAUUUAUAUAUGAAUAUGUUUGCAAAAAAAAUUCACUUGAACUUGCUUGAUAUUUUGCAGCACAGUGCAACCCAUUGGAGCAGACAUCCUUUACUUUCCAGUAAAUAAUGGAUGAAAAAGUGCCUUCGUUCAUGUGAUAUAUUGACCUAGUUCAAGUACACCUGGUUGAAUAUGUUGGUCCAAUAUAUGUAUACCCGCUAAUUUGCUAUGCCUUGGUUGUAAAUAUUGGGAUGCAACUCGAGUUAUGUGUUUCAUGGUAGAUUUGUGUGUUUUAUCACGCAUGUCGUUCAUGAUAUUGUUGUUGUACUAUGAGCUUUGAAAUGGCGAGAUGGUUGUUGUGUUGCCUUCUAA